rnacentral:rRNA from 1 species
AGCGAACGCUGGCGGCAGGCUUAACACAUGCAAGUCGAGCGGGCCCUUCGGGGUCAGCGGCGGACGGGUGAGUAACGCGUGGGAACGUGCCUUCUGGUCUGGAAUAACCCUGGGAAACUAGGGCUAAUACCGGAUACGCCCUUUUGGGGAAAGGUUUACUGCCGGAAGAUCGGCCCGCGUCUGAUUAGCUAGUUGGUGGGGUAACGGCCUACCAAGGCGACGAUCAGUAGCUGGUCUGAGAGGAUGAUCAGCCACACUGGGACUGAGACACGGCCCAGACUCCUACGGGAGGCAGCAGUGGGGAAUAUUGGACAAUGGGCGCAAGCCUGAUCCAGCCAUGCCGCGUGAGUGAUGAAGGCCUUAGGGUUGUAAAGCCCUUUUAUCCGGGACGAUAAUGACGGUACCGGAGGAAUAAGCCCCGGCUAACUUCGUG